rnacentral:rRNA from 1 species
AAUGAACGCUGGCGGCGUGCCUAAUACAUGCAAGUCGAGCGGCAGGACAGGAAGAUUUUGUUCCUGCUGUUAGCGGCGGACGGGUGGGUGAGGAGUGGAUAACCAACCUCUUUGUCUGGGGUGACUUCGGGGAGAAGUAGAUACUAAUAGCUCAUAUUAUGAACCGCUUGGUUCAAAAGAGAUUGACAGUUUUGCUGUCACAUAUAGAUGGAUCCGCGCUGCAUUAGCUAGUUGGUAAGGUAACGGCUUACCAAGGAAACGAUGCAUAGCCGACCUGAGAGGAUGAUCGGCCACACUGGAACUGAGACACGGUCCAGACUCCUACGGGAGGCAGCAGUAGGGAAUAUUCCGCAAUGGGCGAAAGCCUGACCGAGCAACGCCGCGUGAGUGAUGAAGGUCUUCGGGUCGUAAAGCUCUUUUAUUAGGAAAGAACAGAAGUAUAAUUAACUGUGCACAUCUUGACGGUACCUAAACAAAAAGCCACGGCUAACUUCGUG